GGCGUUUACACCGGAUGUGGAAUUAUGGGAUUCUUUGCCAAAUAAACUGCCCACCUUUAACGCCUUCGCUUUUUCCUGCCAAUUAAGCUGAUGUGAACCAUAUUUUCUAGCAUUCUCCUUUGAUUAAUAGAGUUUACUUCAUAGUUUAGCCCAAAGGUUGUUUACAUAAGCCCACUCAAGUAAUCUCGAUGAAUAUGAUUUUAGACUGAUAUCUGUAGCAAAGUUUUUGGUCUAAAUGGCAUAUUGAACUAUGAAAUAGCUGGUUUAUACGGGGUGAAAACGUCCCUUUUGGUAGGAAUAUUUGCUAGUUCAGUUUGUAAAUGCUCUCUUGCAGUUAUUUUGAUUGAUAAAGAUUUGUGAACUUAUUUACUUUAUUCAAUUACAUGUGUAUCAGAAUAAAUGUCUAUAUUGCGUGUGUAUCUCUAAUUAAUAUGUGCUAUUAGAAAUAAAAACAUUUUUUU
rnacentral:misc_RNA from 1 species